AUUGAACACUGGCGGCAGGCCUAACACAUGCAAGUCGAGCGAGCGGCGGACGGGUGAGUAAUGUCUGGGAAACUGCCUGAUGGAGGGGGAUAACUACUGGAAACGGUAGCUAAUACCGCAUACCAUCAGAGGUGCCCAGAAGGGAUUAGCUAGUAGGUGGUGUAACGGGUCACCUAGGCGACGAUCCCUGGCUGGUCUGAGAGGAUGACCAGCCAAACUGGAACUGAGACACGGUGCAGACUCCUACGGGAGGCAGCAGUGGGGAAUAUUGCACAAGGGGCGAAAACCGGAUGCAGCAAUGCCGCGUGUGUGAAGAAGGCCUUCGGGUUGUAAAGCACUUUCAGCGGGGAGGCGUUACCCGCAGAAGAAGCACCGGCUAACUCCGUGCCAGCAGCCGCGGUAAUUC
rnacentral:rRNA from 1 species